rnacentral:rRNA from 1 species
AUGGGCGGCACCACGGUGCUUCCGCCUGCUCUGCUCCCGCGCCGUAGCGCCGCCGCCGCCGCCGAUCUGCACUCCUGCUCCUCCCGCGUGCGCGUGAACCCCGCCUUGAUGGCGAACCCCGCGGCUUCCAAGAGGCCAAAGCGUCCCAGAUCCGUGCACGACGUGCAGCCGCCGGCGAAGCGUGUACGCGGUGGCUGCUCCGGGGGCGAGCUCCAUGUCGCGGUCCCCGCCAGCAUCAAGAACAUCAAGCUUCCGUGUCCUAGUAGCGGCAAGGAUCCGAAGAGUCCGACGUGCCCCCACCCUUACGGGAUCAAGAACCAGGUCGCCGAAUCUCCGGCUAGCGCGACGCAAUCGAAGCCGCAGAUCAGCAUGCGCCAACUGAUCGAGAAAGCUCGCCUCACCAUGGCUCUCCUCGACAAGGCUCGCUCUGCCUCCGAAGAAGAGGCCAGCCGUCGGCGCGACAUCGAGCGCAGCCGAGCGGAGGCCCGGCGAAAGAUGGAGCAGAUGGCGGAUACCGUGCAGUUCAACGACCCCUGGAUCGAUCCUUCCGACGUGAUCAAGUCCCCUGAGGAGCUGCUCCAAGCAAGACAAGAAGCAUGGCGUGCUCAAGCUCAACUCAUUGCGAUGGCUCAUCAACGGGACUUUGCUCAAGCGAUGUAA